UUUUCUUUUUUUCUUUCUCUUUCCUCUUUUUUAUCUCUGCCGAAAUUCCCAUGAAAUAGAAUUUAGCCCUAGGUUAUAAUUUCGCAAUUUUGAUCUGAAUCAAGAAAAAACCCCUAAAAUUUCUAGUUUGAUCUUUAGUAUUUUGAUUCUUUUUAAUAGUAGUCAUUGAGUUUAUACUUUCAGAUUUGAUGGGGAAAAUCUAAUUUUUGGAAUUCAUUUAGAUUGUCGAAGGUUUGGGUUUUGGAAUCGGGUCAUCAUCGAAGAUGAAGUUUCAUUCUAGGUCGGGAGUUUGAGCAAUUGUAUUUUCAGUGAUGGAGGAAGUUCCAGAAUUGUUGUAUUAUAAGAAGUUGUAGAAUAAGAAGAAUCGAAAAGAGGGGAAAACAACUGAAAAAUCUUUUCGAUAUACAUGGGUUGUUUUGCAGAGUACUCAUGGGUUGCAAAGCUAGACAUGCUACUAAGAACUCUGGGGAGAAUCCUCAUGCUGCUAAAGGGAUUGCGGUGGCUAUUUGUUCCAAUAUUAAAAUCGAGUUCAACAUAAGGGAAGAACUUGCGAAGUUGCAUGUCAUAUGAAGCUUGAUGCCGAAGCUGCAGAGAAUAUGGUGUAGUUAUGCCGUAUGAAGCUUGUACGAAGCCUCUGAGACGAAUUAACUUAAUUAUAGUUCUUUAUGCCGUAUAAUAUGGUGUUUUGUGUUAACUAGGUACAACAUGAUCACUUUGAGGAGUUCUUUAUGCCCAAGCUUGGAGAAAUCAGCUUUUCUGGUAUAGAUAAGUCGAAGAAAUCUGCGAACGAAAAUGAAGUCCGUCAACCAUCUAUUAGAAACAAAUUUGAAAAUUGCUUCUAAAAACUAUUUAGGAAGUGAUUACAUAGGUUGCUUACCUGCUGAAAUUUUUAACUAAAACGAAGUACGUCAACCAUAUUUUGGUCACAAAAUGUGUGGGAGCUCCAUAACUUUUUUCUUGCACAAGUGGGUUAAUACUGAGACAAUCAGAUAAGUACACACCUCUAACUGAUGCACGUGGUUUGGGUCAAUCAUUUGAACGGCACUUUUGUGAAAAUAAAUAUAUUGAAUGUUCACUUUUGUUUCUCGGGUUUUAAUUGGUCUUCUUCUUAUGAUUAUUUUUAGGUGUUUACUUCUUAUAGAGACUACGUAUUUGAAGGGUGUGCAACAUUUUUUCGCCUCAGUAAAUUCAGACUAAUUAAGAAAUAUGAGUAGCACUCGAAAAUUCUCUUUGAGGAGACAGGACAAAAAUAGAAAUAAGAAACUCUUGGUUGAAUUGAGUUUCUUUGGAUUUUGACAUUUUAGAGCUGAACGUACUUCAUAAGUAUUUCUUUGGAUUUUGACAUUUUAAUACAUUUGUUUGUUAAUCACGAGAUGCAUGCAACUUUCAGGAGGUCGCUGUUUCCAGAAUUGCAAGAACCAUUUUGUUGUUCAUUUUGAGAGAGAACUUUGCAGUCCCAAGAAUUGUUUGAAAUUUACCAGCAUACAAGUGAUAUACCCGAUUUUGUCUCAUGUUUUGAUUGUUGUAUCUUUGUAGGAGUAUAUAGUGGUUCUUGCUUGUAAACGGAAAGCACCAGCAUCAGGCCAGGGAUGAUUUGGAGGCGUUUCUUGGCGAAAAGAGUAGUGAAUUUGUGUCCUGAAAAACAAAGUUUCAGGAGAUAUGUAUAGGAUGAGGUUAAUCGUCGUGAUAUUUUGAAGCAUGAUUCUUCUAGAGUGUAAGUGUCUUCUGGAUAUUCAUUUGGUGGUGAGAAGAACAUUAGAUACGCGAGGCAGAGAAAGGAUACCCGUGGUGAGCUGAACCCGCGAAAUCAAUCUUCAGUGGAGCGAAUAUUAGGUUCUGCGAGUUCACAAUCUGCGAUGGAAGGUUAUGAGAGGUACUCAUCCAACAGUACAGUCAGCAGCGCAAAGGUCACUUCAGCAGAAGAAGGCGUGCAAAAUACUCCCCACUAGCCUUGAGGUUGUUGUGGAUUGUGCAAGUAUUCUUGGGAUUUUCAAAGUUAACUUCAUUCUCCGUGGUCUCAAGGUUGUAAAGCUCGAACCUGACUGAGAUAAAUCAGUGCUAGACAUGUAAGGUGGUCUGCUGAAUAUCUUGUCAAAACACUUCUUGGUUGCUCUUAUCUAAGAAUUUGAUGUGUAGUUAAUCUGAGUAAAUCAGUAGACUCGGCAAAAAUGUAUUUGCCAUUUAUAUAUAAUUUUGGAUUUUGUUUAUAUCAGUUUUCAAUUUAAAUUACAGGUGCAGGAAUGAAA